CCAGAACAGCUAGGCUGGGGAAGGGUUCAUGGGCUGGAAUGCAAAACCAGAGAGAGCUCUCCCACACACCAGCCUGCCUAGGGUUCACAGCCAGAUGAACUCCAGGCCCAGAGACAGGCUGGAGUCAUUACAACAAGGUGCGUGUAUUCUGGUUUACAAGAAAAGAAGCUGGGCCUUAGAAGGAUAGGGCCCAUGGUGGAAGGGAAUAGUGGGAUUUUGCUGCAAUGCCCACCCUCGUUCUGAUUUGAGGACAGAAGAGACCAAGAGAAUGAAGGCUGAGCAGAGCUGCUACCCCUGGGCAGAUAGCGAGGGCUCUGACCGUCAACAGAAGCUAAAGAAAACCUACAAAUCAUCCACUGCUGAUAGACAGAGCCACAGCUGCGCUACAGACCCCAGAUCACUUCUGUAGCUCUUAGUCAAGUCUCCAGAGUCAGCAGCCCCAGUAGCUUAGCCCAGGGCCCCACUGGGCUUAUCUCUGUGGACAGAAGGACCACCAGGCCACAGUUCUUUACCACAGAGAAGGGGUUAGAGAGAGAAGAGGAAGAGACGACGCCCUGCCUUCAAGAGCUGCCCACACGGGGAGCAGAGGCCCUUGGGGACCCUGGAGCUUUUCUCUGACAAUAACAGCAUUACUGGUGA